rnacentral:rRNA from 1 species
GACGAACGCUGGCGGCGUGCCUAAUACAUGCAAGUCGAACGCAGUGGGGACGGGUGAGUGACACGUGGGUAACCUCCCAUCAGAGGGGAUAACACUUGGAAACAGGCGCUUAACCGAUACUGAUGGAUGGACCCGCGGUGCAUUAGCUAGUGGGUGAGGCAACGGCUCACCAAGGCCACGAUGCAUAGCGGACCUGAGAGGAUGAUCGGCCACACUGGAACUGAGACACGGCCCAGACUCCUACGGGAGGCAGCAGUGGGGAAUCUUCGGCAAUGGACGAAAGCCUGACCGAGCAACGCCGCGUGAGUGAAGAAGGUUUUCGGGUCGUAAAGCUCUGUUGUUAGGGAGGCGGUAUCUAACCAGAAAGCCACGGCUAACUACGUGCCAGCAGCCGCGGUAAUUC